GGGUUAUUGGCGCAGUGGUAGCGCAGCCCCCUGUCCAGGGGAAGGUCACCGGUUCGAACCCGGUAUAGCCCGCCA
rnacentral:tRNA from 1 species